rnacentral:misc_RNA from 1 species
GUAGUCGCCCGGGUUGCCGCAAGGCCUCCCGGGUAACCUACCACCCUUUGUUUAUUACACUUUGUUGCUUUGGCAAGCCUGCCCUCGGGCUGCUGGCUCCGGCCGGCGAGCGCGUGCCAGAGGACCUAAACUCUGUUUGUCUAUACUGUCUGAGUACUAUAAAAUAGCUAAAACUUUCAACAACGGAUCUCUUGGUUCU